UGACGAGUUUGAUCCUGGCUCAGGAUGAACGCUAGCGGCAGGCCUAAUACAUGCAAGUCGAACGGUGAUAGCAAUAUCAUAGUGGCGCACGGGUGCGUAACACGUAUGCAACCUACCUAUUAUUGGGGGAUAGCCUUUGGAAACGGAGAUUAAUACCGCAUAAUACGAUUGACUGGCAUCGGUUGAUUGUUAAAGCUUCGGCGAUAAUAGAUGGGCAUGCGUCCAAUUAGUUAGUUGGUUAGGUAACGGCUGACCAAGACGAUGAUUGGUAGGGGAUCUGAGAGGAUAAUCCCCCACACUGGCACUGAGAUACGGGCCAGACUCCUACGGGGAGACAGCAGUGAGGAAUAUGGACAAUGGGGCGCAAGCCCUGAU
rnacentral:rRNA from 1 species